rnacentral:rRNA from 1 species
UACGUAGGGGGCAAGCGUUACUCGGAAUUACUGGGCGUAAAGGGUGAGUAGGCGGCUGGGCAAGUCAAGGAUGAAAUCCCGAGGCUCAACUUCGGAACCGUCCUUGAAACUGCUCAGCUUGAGGGUAGUUGAGGAGAGUGGAAUUCCCGGUGGAGCGGUGAAAUGCGUAGAUAUCGGGAGGAACACCUGAGGCGAAGGCGGCUCUCUAAGCUACUCCUGACGCUGAAUCACGAAAGCUAGGGGAGCAAACGGGAUUAGAUACCCCCGUAGUCC